GGGGACUCCGAGUGUGAAGGCUAGAGCCUUCACUUUUGUACACCGUAAGGUGGUGUACGAAUAAGGGCUGGGCAAGACCGGUGCCAGCCGCCGCGGUAAUACCGGCAGCCCGAGUGAUGGCCGAUAUUAUUGGGCCUAAAGCGUCCGUAGCUGGCCGGACAAGUCCGUUGGGAAAUCUGUUCGCUUAACGAGCAGGCGUCCAGCGGAAACUGUUCGGCUUGGGACCGGAAGACCUGAGGGGUACGUCCGGGGUAGGAGUGAAAUCCUGUAAUCCUGGACGGACCACCGGUGGCGAAAGCGCCUCAGGAGGACGGAUCCGACAGUGAGGGACGAAAGCUAGGGUCUCGAACCGGAUUAGAUACCCGGGUAGUCCUAGCUGUAAACGAUGCCCGCUAGGUGUGGCGCAGGCUACGAGCCUGCGCUGUGCCGUAGGGAAGCCGAGAAGCGGGCCGCCUGGGAAGUACGUCUGCAAGGAUGAAACUUAAAGGAAUUGGCGGGGGAGCACUACAACCGGAGGAGCCUGCGGUUUAAUUGGACUCAACGCCGGACAUCUCACCAGCUCCGACAGUAGUAAUGACGGUCAGGUUGAUGACCUUACCCGAUGCUACUGAGA
rnacentral:rRNA from 1 species